UACAGAGGGUGCGAGCGUUAAUCGGAAUUACUGGGCGUAAAGCGUGCGCAGGCGGUUUUGUAAGUCUGUUGUGAAAGCCCCGGGCUCAACCUGGGAAUUGCGAUGGAGACUGCAAGGCUUGAAUCUGGCAGAGGGGGGUAGAAUUCCACGUGUAGCAGUGAAAUGCGUAGAGAUGUGGAGGAACACCGAUGGCGAAGGCAGCCCCCUGGGUCAAGAUUGACGCUCAUGCACGAAAGCGUGGGGAGCAAACAGG
rnacentral:rRNA from 1 species